GCAUGAGGGGGCGCCCAGACCCCGCGGGGAGUGCGGAGGGGGCGGGGGCGGAGUCGCCAUCUUGGACUCGGCUCGACCCAGUCUGGUGACCGGCGACGCUGGGCCGGGCUCGGCGCAGGGGGUCGGGAAGCGCAAAGAAGUUAAAUACUUGACCAACUUCACACCAAGAUCUGAACCCAGGUAGUCUUACUUCAGAGCCUACGUUCUUAUCCGUGCCCAUUGCCAGCCUCGUGCUCAUUCAUUUGUACCGGGAAGCUCAUGCUUUAUCCCUAGAACUCCUCCAAUGGCAGUUUUGUACAGAUUGGAGGAAGUGGUGAACUCAGAUAGCAGAGUCAGGCACAAGAAGGAGGAUAUUAUUUGGUGCCCAUUCAGUUGUUGUGCCUGUUACGGCUUAGUUUAAAAAGAUGGCAGAGAGAAGAGUUCCUGAGAAGACCAGAUAGGACAUUUGCAUCUCAAAGAUGGGGAAACAAGUUUGAAGCAGGGUGUCCUGACUACAAAUGCAGUGUUGUUUCCAAGAUGCCGCAGUGGUGCCUCUUGGCUCAGUGCCAGCUCACUCCGGGAGUGAAGAUGAGUUCCUGGGCUCCACGUCACCCAACACGAUGCCACACGUCAUGCAUGCCCUGUGAAUAGCUCUUGGUGUGGCCUUGUCAUGAGCAGCCCUAUGGAGAGGCCCAGGUGAAUUCCAGCCCCCGAGCCACAUGAAUGAGCAUGGAUGCAAAUUCUCCAACCCAGUCAGCCUUCAGGUGACUGAAGCCCUGGCCAGCAUCUUAUCUGCAGUCGUGAGAAACCCUGAGCCAGAAAUACCCAGCUAACCAACUCCUGGAUUCCUGACUCACAGAAACUGACCUUAUCUGCAGCUGGACUGGACCCCGCCCCUCCCAGGAACUGGGUAGGCAGAGAGUCUAGAGCCUGAAUCCUUCAUCUGAAACAUGACCAUCAAUAGCAGCCGAGAACCUCCAUCUUACUUUUCCAUCAUCAAAGAGGAACCAGCCUUCUUCUUCAGUGUUAAAAAAGACAUCAUUGAAGACAUCACCUUCUUGGUUCAGGUGCCUUCCCUGAAAGUAAGGAAGCAAGUCAGGAGGCAAGGUACUGUGGUUUGCCGGGCUCAGGUUGGCUCCCAUCAACUGUGGGUAGGAUCCAGGAUCACACAGCAGCAGGAAUCAUAGCUGGGAGAAAGGAGUUCAGGGUGUACAGAGGAAGGAGGAGGAAGCAGAUCCCAGAAGGUGAGUUGGGAAGAUAAAAUAGGUGUCCUCUCUAGUUAGAAAAUGAUCUUACACUCAAGGGGCCCUGGCACACAAGCCUUCCCUUCCCAUGUACAUUUUGCCCAUUACUUCCACUUCCACAAUACAUCUUGCUAAUAUCUAUUUACAACCUUCCUUGUCCAAGGGCCUGGAGAUAAAGGAAUGCAAUUAACAGUUUCAUACUCUUUGACUUGUAUAGCUGUGCAUUGCUUGAUAUUAAUGUUGCCAGACCUGACUUUCUUUAUGUUCACAUUUGAAUAAUUAUAUUUUACUCAUAUUUUAAUUUCUGAAUAUUUCAUUUUAUUUUUGUUUGUCUAAUAAGCAGAGAAACCUUGGAUUUAAGGGGUUUUUUCCUCAUAUCUAAGAGUAUUGGCCUUUAAUGAUUUAUUAGAUUUUUUUAAGUCUUUGUUAAAGAUGACUGGUGGUUCUUACUAUACCUUUAUUAAACAGAAGUGUAUCCUUUCUACCUUUUCUUUUUCUUAAAAAGACACUUGCUUUUCCUUCCCCCUUCUUCAUUCUUUUGAUCUGCAUUGAUGUAUGCCAA